rnacentral:rRNA from 1 species
UACGUAGGGGGCAAGCGUUGUCCGGAAUCAUUGGGCGUAAAGCGCGCGCAGGCGGAUGGGUAUGUGCCGUGUGAAAGCGCCGUCCUUACGAUGGCGAGGUCAUGGUAGACAGCCCGUCUGGAGGCUCGAAGAGGUCGGUGGAAUUCCGGGUGGAGCGGUGAAAUGCGUAGAUAUCCGGAGGAACACCAGGGGCGAAAGCGGCCGACUGGUCGAGUACUGACGCUGAGGCGCGACGGCGUGGGGAGCAAACCGG